CAGUAGCCGCGGUAAUACGGAGGGGGCUAGCGUUGUUCGGAAUUACUGGGCGUAAAGCGCACGUAGGCGGCUUGGUAAGUUAGUGGUGAAAGCCCAGGGCUCAACCUUGGAACUGCCUUUGAUACUGGCUGUCUUGAGUCCGGGAGAGGUGAGUGGAACUGCGAGUGUAGAGGUGAAAUUCGUAGAUAUUCGCAAGAACACCAGUGGCGAAGGCGGCUCACUGGCCCGGAACUGACGCUGAGGCGCGAAAGCGUGGGGAGCAAACAGGAUUAGAUACCCCCGUAGUCCCUGUCUCUUAUAC
rnacentral:rRNA from 1 species